rnacentral:piRNA from 1 species
UGUUAGGUCUAAUUGCUUAUUAUGGUA